rnacentral:rRNA from 1 species
UACGAACUGUGCGAACGUUACUCGGAAUCACUGGGCUUACAGGGUGCGUAGGUGGCUUGUUAAGCAGGGUGUGAAAUCCCUCGGCUCAACCGAGGAACUGCGCUCUGAACUGGCGAGCUGGAGUAUGCUAGAGGUGUAUGGAACAUCUAGUGGAGCGGUGAAAUGUGUUGAUAUUAGAUGGAACACCGGAGGCGAAGGCGAUACACUGGGGCAUAACUGACACUGAGGCACGAAAGCCAGGGGAGCAAACGGG